rnacentral:rRNA from 1 species
GAAAUUCCAAUCGAACUCGGAGAUAGCUGGUUCUCCUCGAAAUAGCUUUAGGGCUAGCCUCGAGAGGAGUCUAACGGAGGUAAAGCACUGAACUGACGCGGGGCCCCAAAAGGUUACCAACUCAAAUCAAACUAAGAAUGCCGUCAAGAUACCCUCGGGAGUCAGACUACGGGAGAUAAGUUUCGUGGUCAAAAGGGAAAGAGCCCAGACCGACAGCUAAGGUCCCAAAGUGUGUGUUAAGUGGAAAAGGAUGUGGGAUUUCAUAGACAACUAGGAUGUUGGCUUAGAAGCAGCCAUACAUUUAAAGAGUGCGUAAUAGCUCACUAGUCGAGAGAACCUGCGCCGAAAAUAAUCGGGGCUAAAACACACCACCGAAGCUACGGAUUUCCUGCUUAAGGUAGGAAGUGGUAGAGGAGCAUACUGCAAGGACGAAGCCUGAUUGAGAGAGAAGGUGGACGAAGCAGUAGAGAGAAUGCCGGAAUGAGUAGCGAGAUAUAUGUGAGAACCAUAUAGGCCGAAUAUCUAAGGUUUCCUGAGUGAAGCUAAUCUGCUCAGGGUAAGUCGGGACCUAAGGCGAGGACGAGAGUCGUAGUCGAUGGACAACUGGUAGAGAUUCCAGUACUAUGUAUAAUCAGAACUGUGGGGACGCAGGAGGAUAGAUGGACCGCGGAAAGGGAAGACGCGGCCAAGUACAAAGUCAAGUUAGGUAGGCAAAUCCGCCAAACGAUGAUGAAGUACGACGGGGACUGAAAGAAAGUAAGGAAGUCAUUGAAUCCACACUGCCGAGAAAAGCCGCUAUAGUGUUAUACAUACCCGUACCGUAAACCGACACAGGUAGAUGAGGAGAAAAUCCACAGGCCGACGGGAGAAGUGUUGUUAAGGAACUCGGCAAAAUGACCCCGUAACUUAGGGAGAAGGGGAGCCACGAGAGUGGUCACAGAAAAGAGGCUCAAGCAACUGUUUAGCAAAAACACAGGUCUCUGCGAAACCGAAAGGUGAAGUAUAGGGGCUGACACCUGCCCGGUGCUGGAAGGUUAAAAGGAGAGGUUAGCCGCAAGGCGAAGCUUUGAAUUCAAGCCCCAGUAAACGGCGGCCGUAACUAUAACGGUCCUAAGGUAGCGAAAUUCCUUGUCAGGUAAGUUCUGACCCGCACGAAAGGUGUAACGAUUUGAGCACUGUCUCGACAACACGCCCGGUGAAAUUGAAGAACCAGUGAAGAUACUGGUUACCCGCAACAGGACGGAAAGACCCCAUGGAGCUUUACUGCAGCCUGAUACUGGGAUUCGAUGAU